AUGGUAGGAUAGAGGCCUACCAUGGUUUUAACGGGUAACGGGGAAUUAGGGUUCGAUUCCGGAGAGGGAGCCUGAGAAACGGCUACCACAUCCAAGGAAGGCAGCAGGCGCGCAAAUUACCCAAUCCCGACACGGGGAGGUAGUGACAAUAAAUAACAAUAUGGGGCUCUUACGAGUCUCGUAAUUGGAAUGAGUACAAUUUAAAUCUCUUAACGAGGAACAAUUGGAGGGCAAGUCUGGUGCCAGCAGCCGCGGUAAUUCCAGCUCCAAUAGCGUAUAUUAAAGUUGUUGCAGUUAAAAAGCUCGUAGUUGAAUUUCUGAAUCUGUCCGUCGGUCGGGCUUCACUGUCCGUACUGGUGUGAUGGGUUUCUACCUUCUGAAUAACCGGCAUGUCAUUAAUUUGGUGCGCCGGGGAAGCAGAACUAUUACCUUGAAAAAAUUAGAGUGCUUAAAGCAGGCUAUCGCCUGAAUAGAUUAGCAUGGAAUAAUAAAAUAGGACGGCAUGGUUCUAUUUUGUUGGUUUCUAGGAUCACCGUAAUGAUUAAUAGGGAUAGUUGGGGGCAUUAGUAUUCAAUUGUCAGAGGUGAAAUUCUUGGAUUUAUUGAAGACUAACUUCUGCGAAAGCAUUUGCCAAGGAUGUUUUCAUUAAUCAAGAACGAAAGUUAGGGGAUCGAAGACGAUCAGAUACCGUCGUAGUCUUAACCAUAAACUAUGCCGACUAGGGAUCGGACGAUGUUAAUUUUUUAAUGACUCGUUCGGCGCCUUACGGGAAACCAAAGUGUUUGGG
rnacentral:rRNA from 1 species